rnacentral:rRNA from 1 species
AUGCAGCGGAGCAACUCGUUCGGGACGUCGUGGGCGGACCAGUGGGACACCGGCGCCGACCCGAGCCCGCGGGCGCGCGGCGGCAACGGCGACGGCCAGAAGGGCGGCGUGGAGAAGACCAAGGCGGCCGCGGCCACCGGGCUGAGGAAGGUCAAGGCCGGCACCGCGCAGGGGUUCCAGUGGAUCAAGGACAAGUACCAGAAGAAGAGCGCCGGCAAGAACGGCAAGCAGGGGGGCGGCUCCGAGGUGGCGGCCGGGUACUGA